UACGGAGGGUGCAAGCGUUAUCCGGAUUUACUGGGUUUAAAGGGUGUGUAGGCGGACUUUUAAGUCAGCGGUGAAAUCUCCGGGCUCAACCCGGAAACUGCCAUUGAUACUAUGAGUCUUGAAUGUUGUUGAGGUGGGCGGAACGGGUCAUGUAGCGGUGAAAUGCAUAGAUAUGACCCGGAACACCGAUUGCGAAGGCAGCCCACUAAGCAACCGUUGACGCUGAGGCACGAAAGCGUGGGGAUCAAACAGG
rnacentral:rRNA from 1 species